GGGAGUGUAGCUCAGUGGUAGAGUGCUUGUCUUGAAUACACAUGGCCCUGGAAUCAGUCUCCAGUAUCACCA
rnacentral:tRNA from 1 species